rnacentral:rRNA from 1 species
GAUGAACGCUGGCGGCGUGCUUAACACAUGCAAGUCGAACGGUAAAGCCCAGCUUGCUGGGUGGAUUGGUGGCGAACGGGUGAGUCACACGUGAUUAACCUGGCCCUAACUCUUGAGUAAGCCUGGGAGAGUGGAUCUAAUACCAGGAACAUCCGCCCCCCGCAUGGUGGUGGUUGGCAAGUUUUUUCGGUGUUGGAUGGGCUCGCGGCCUAUCAGCUUGUUGGUGAGGUAAUGGCUGACCAAGGCGACGACGGGUAGCCGGCCUGAGAGGGUGACCGGCCACACUGGGACUGAGACACGGCCCAGACUCCUACGGGAGGCAGCAGUGGGGAAUAUUGCACAAUGGGCGCAAGCCUGAUGCAGCGACGCCGCGUGAGGGAUGACGGCCUUCGGGUUGUAAACCUCUUUCAGUAGGGAAGAAGCGAAAGUGACGGUACCUGCAGAAGAAGCACCGGCUAACUACGUG